ensembl:lncRNA
GGAUCCUUAACCCACUGAGUAAGGCUGGGGAUGGAACCUACAUCCUCAUGGAGACUAUGCCAGGUUCUUAACCCACUGAGCCACAGUGGGAACUCUAUUGUUCACUGUUGUUUGCUGAUCAUUUUUAUCUUUGUCCUUAUGCUUUGGAGAUAAGCCUUCCCCUUCUAACUUAUUUACUACCUGCACAGCUCACUCCCUCUUCAAGAUUUUAUAUGUCCUUUUCCUUCUAUCUUGACUCUUCUUGCUCCAGAUUUGGGCAGUCUUCUUCUCAUCCCUUUCAUCAGUACAAAAAUCACCUCUUCUAGUGGUUUAGAAUCCAUUUGUCCUCAGAGGCCACAUAGCAUUCUUCCACCUGAACCCUAGUCUCAGUAACUCUUGAUCCUUCCCCUCCUUUAAUUUCCAGCACUUGUCACUAAAGGACACGAUCUUAAGUGUUUGUUGCGUCUCUUUUACAAUAGAAUAUGUUACUGGAAGGGACCAAGACAUUUUCUGUCUUAACUCAAUAUUCUACACAUAAUAGGGUUUAACAAUAAAUAUCUAUUGAAGUAUAUAUGAAUGAAAGAAUCUAUACAUAUAAAGCCAAGUAAAUAAUAACUUAGGUGCUUUUAUCUGACGUAGGAGCAUAUUUUAUCCCUUGAGCUGUUAUUAGAUGUAGUUCUUUGAAGUCGCACAUGGUAGAUAAAGUGGUCCAGAAAAGUUCAAGGUGAUGAUAGAAACUGAGACAAGGAGAUUUACCAGGUAGGUAAAACACACAUAGUUGGUUAAGACUUGUUAUCUGCUGUCUUAUGGAUAUAUCCAUGUAAGAAAAUAUUUUUCUCUAUUUUGCUGAAAAUUUGGUAAUGUAACAUAUUGCUGUCAUUCUCAUUCCAAAAGUCUAGUUAUAGGUUAAGGGUAGCAAUUAGAUCUACUAUGGGAUAUAUUGAAUGUUUAGUUUCCUUUUGAUAUAAGAUGUCAGAAGAUCCUUUGACAAACAGUAGUGAAAGCUUGAGGAUAAUUCCACUAACUCAAACCUAAUAUUAAGUGUUGCACAAACUAAGACAUCAAAGACUUUUUAAACACUGGUGAAAUUCCUGGGAGAAGUACCUGCCUAUUAGCCUUAAGAACAAUUCCUCUAACUUGUCACAAACUUGAAAUUUGUUUUUAAUUGUUAAGUUAUCAAAUGUUAAUAAUUAAAUAUUAAUUUUAAAAGUCCCUUUCUCUUAGUUCUGACUCAAGUAAAAAAUAAUUAACACACACACACACACCCAGAAAUGACAUCGAAUUAAAAGGGAGAAAACAAAUGUGAGAGAACUGUAAUGGGAACUUUUUGCUUUCCAGGAAACUAACUAUACCCUUUAAUACCUCCCUCCUGAGUUGAGAAAAAAAAUCACUAAUUAAUGGCAUUUCCUUCCUGAAAAGAGUAUCAGAGUAUAUUACUUUGUUCCCAUUAAAUGUGUACAAGGGUAAAAUACCUAUUUUCAUAUUCAAUAGCUUCCCAGUAGAUGGCACCAUUGUGACUCAGUGUGGAUCCAUCUUUGAUAAGGAAGUGUUAUGAAACACGUUCAAUGUCAAAGCUUUUGUAAAUAGUGAGAUAUAGUAACACUUGCAGUGUUGCCUUGGAAAACAUAAACUCCUACAAUAUCUAGAAAAUAAGGCAACUGUUGAAAACCAAUAAAUGCCACAAGAACUCCCACCAUGUGUAACUUCAUAUCUGAUGAUUUUUGUCAGCUUAAAUUGAAAGUAUUAAAAUUAUUUUUAUAAAGGAUGUGAAUACAAACACAGACUCUCUUCCAUCUUGUAAAUUCUGAAACCUUCCACAAGGAUUUCUGUAACCUCUCACAUUUGUGCAUAGUUUCCACGUAUGCUAUAGCCAAGCUUGGGUUGAGAAUAUGAGGAUAGCUAAAGGUAUUUUCCGUGACAGCUGAACUUCCCUCCAUUCUGGUUAAUUUAACUUUGUCCUACCUGGGUACUUGAUGGAUUUUCUAGAGUAAAGAAGACUCCCAGACCUACAAAUCUAUGAAUCUCCAAAAGUUACCAGACGUUAUAUUUGGUUUUCCAUGCUCUCAAUUCCCAUGGUAAUACCCAUUCAAACUUUGCUGGUAACUUAAAAGCAAUUCCCACGUUUUAUGUCUUAAAGAUUUAUGUGCGAGAUUUCUAUUUAAAACUGGGAAUGUGUUUUUCUCUAGGAACGGUGUUUUUAAUGAUUGUUAGGUUGUCUGGGUAAUCCAUCAUGACAUUUCUCAGCUGUGAUCUGAUAACUCUGUGACUUUGAGACAACAAGGCACAGUGGUCAGAGCACAAGGACUGGUGUUGAAUAAACAUCCAUGGCUUUUGGUACCUGCCCUGUUAGCUGUUUACUUACUAUUUGCAAUUAUUUACUUACAUUAUACUUGCUACUAGCAUUAAGUAUUAAAAUCUGGAUCAAUUGGGGUAAUUCAUAACUGGUAUGGUAACUCAGAGAAACUGAAAAUUCUGAUGGUCUGCAAGGAAUGUGUGGUUCUCGUUCUUGGGAGAAGGGGUUAGAGGAUGGUGAUUCCAGAUCCAAACGUCACUGGUCACCGACCCAGCUCUUCUCCUCGCUACCUGUAAAACCUGAAGCAGUUGAUAUAACAUCUGAGAUGCAGUUUUCUCAUCUUCAAAAUGGGAAAAAUGGCCCUAUGUGGCAGUGUUGCUGUAAGGAUACGGAUCCAAGAUUUGUGUGUGUCUGUGUGUCUGUGUGUAUAAAUAUCUAUCUGUCUGCCUAUCUAUCUAUCUACAUGUGUGUACACAAACACAUAUCACAAAUAUUUACAUGAAGCUUCAUUAGUAUACUAAUUGUAUUGAAGUUAAGUGUUAAAAACAGACUGAUUACGGUAUAUUUUAUGAGCUCACACAGAUGUCUACAUUUUAGAAUAAGUGCAAGCUUUCAGGGAUUUCCUCUGGCCUGUGCUUCUGCUCUUUAAGGAAAACUUUAAUCCUGGGAAGCUCCACAGCUUGAAAGUAACUCAAUAUAACACAUAAACAUGACUCCUGGAGGUUCUGGUAAGAGUCUGUAUGGAUCCUUUGAAUGAAGUAGGGCCAAUCAGGCACUUUGAACAGAUUAUUCCAACACUAAUGAAUAACCUCUCUCUCUAAUGUCCAAAAUUUACCUGCUCAUCCCUCUCCACUAGGCUCACAAUUCAUUAUACUCCCUCCAUGUGCUGCAGCAACUGUGGGUGGAUGACCAGGCUGAGUUCUAACUUGGCCCCAUAGGGUUAAGGCAGACGUAGUUCUGAGGGGCCUUCGGGAACCAUACUAUGCUUAUGGAAGCUCUCAUCUAUUUCCCUCUUUCUUUCAUUAAUUCAUUCAACACAUAUUGAUGGAGCAUUGUGUAUACCAGUUACCACACUAGGCACUAUGUUUACCCUCGUGGCCCUUCAACUUUCUAAAAAUAUUAUCCAUCAUGUAGUGAACACAUACUGGGUGUUAAGUGCUUGACAAACAUUGCCCAGUUUCCUCUUUGUACAGCUCUGUGAACUAAAGUUUAUAGAUUACAGAAGUGGAAACUAAGAUCUAGAGGAUGAGAAGUUACCAAAAAAAUGAAGAAAGGGGAAAGGAAGAGAGGAAGGGAGGGAAGUAGGAAGGAGAAAUUUUAAAAAAAAAGAGUUAAGUAGCAAACUCCCAUUUCAGCGGAGGCUCCUCUGCGAGCAAAGCCUCAUUUCCUGUGUGGUUGGCGCACUAUCAGGUGCUGGCCAGUCAGCCCUUCUGAUAUUAAAUAGGGGGGAUAAGCCGUGUUAAAUAAUAAUUAGACAUGAUACACCAUAUACAUACAUAGAUAGCCGCAAAGGCAUUCNNNNNNNNNNNNNNNNNNNNNUAACCAUAUAAGCUUAAAUGUAGUUAGAGAAGUUACAGGAGCUUUUGAAAGUAGUGAUUAGGGAUGAAUAAGCUAAUAAAUACAUAAAUCCAAAUGAUUUGAAAGUUAUGUUAGUAAACUGCUGUUGAAAGUUGUAAUGCAGGGCCUCAUUUUUAAUCAGCCAAAUUCAUUCUCAACAUUUCAAGUUAAGUUUUUUGGGGGUGGCAGGGCAAGUUUGAAGGAGAGACAGUAUUGAAUAAGAUAUGGGAAAAUCACCAAAUGGUUCAAGUUAACUGUGUGAACUUUUAGAUAUUUUGCUUAGCUGGAUUCCUUGUACCAUAAGUUUUUCAAUGUCUGUGAGUCAGCAUCUGUUCUGCAAAGAAGUUCCGUCUGUCCUUUUUUCAGAUUCCACAUGUCAGUGAAAGCAUUUGAUGUUGGUGUCUCAUUGUAUGACUGACUUCACUUAGCAUGAUAGUUUCUAGGUCUAUCCAUGUUGCUAAAAAUGCUGGUAUUUCGUUCUUUUUGAUGGCUGAGUAAUAUUCCAUUGUGUAUAUGUACCACAUCUUCUGGAUCCAUUCCUCUGUCGAUGGACAUUUAGGUUGUUUCCAUGUCUUGGCUAUUGUAAAUAGUGCUGCAAUGAACAUUGGAGUACAUGUGUU